GGACCCACACAAGCAGUGGAUCAUGUGGUUUAAUUCGACAAUAAACGGGGAAUCUUACCCAGACUUGACAUCCCAAGAAUCCUGUGGAAACACGGGAGUGCUCGCAAGAGAACUUGGAGACAGGUGCUGCAUGGUUGUCGUCAGCUCGUGCCUUGAGGUGUUCGGUUAAGUCCGUUAACGAGCGAAACCUAUGCCGUUAGUUAUUAUGUCUAACGGGACUGCCCUUGUUAAUAGGGAGGAAGGUGUAGAUGAUGUCAAAUCAGCAUGGCUUUUACGUCUGGGGCCACACACAUGAUACAAUGGUCGGUACAAUGAGUAGCAAUAAGGUAACUUGGAGCUAAUCUUAAAAGCCGAUCUCAGUCCGGAUUGAGGUCUGAAACUCGACCUCAUGAAGUUGGAAUUGCUAGUAAUCGUGAAUCAGAUAUGUCACGGUGAAUAUGUUCCUGGGUCUU
rnacentral:rRNA from 1 species